GUAAUACUCCCUCCAUCCGGAAAUACUUGUCAUUAAAAUGGAUAAAAAGAGACAUAUCUAAAACAUUUUUUUUAUCCAUUUUGAUAACAAGUAUUUCCGCACGGAGGGAGUAAUAA
rfam:Triticum aestivum genome assembly, contig: Triticum_aestivum_CS42_TGACv1_scaffold_222653_3B